rnacentral:misc_RNA from 1 species
CAACCCUCAAGCUCUGCUUGGUCUUGGGCCGCGCCGGUCAAACGGCGGGCCUCAAAAACAGUGGCGGCGCCAUCGUGUCCCUCAGCGUAGUAAUUCUUCUCGCUGUUGGUACCCGGUGGCCGCUGGCCAGCAACCCCAAUUUUUUCUAU